UACGUAGGGGGCAAGCGUUGUCCGGAUUUAUUGGGCGUAAAGAGCGUGUAGGCGGCCAGAUAGGUCAGCUGUGAAAACUCGAGGCUCAACCUCGAGACGCCGGUUGAAACCAUCUGGCUAGAGUCCGGAAGAGGAGAGUGGAAUUCCUGGUGUAGCGGUGAAAUGCGCAGAUAUCAGGAAGAACACCCGUGGCUAAGGCGGCUCUCUGGGACGUUACUGACGCUGAGACGCGAAAGCGUGGGGAGCAAACAGG
rnacentral:rRNA from 1 species